CGUGCGUGCGUGCGUCCAUCUUAGUUUGUAAGAUGUGGUCUCUCAUUGGGACCUGGGACUCUCACAUUAGCACCGAUUGUUGAAGGGAUUAAAUAAGGUAAUACUAUGUGAGAGUUCGCGGUCCUGGCGCGGAGUCGUCCUGCACUGGGCUUUAGUCGGCUGCCUACGAAGAUGAACCCUGCCUGUGUGAACGGGGCCAUCGGAAUUGUUUUCAACGGCACAGAAGUACUGACCGGGCUCCCGGGGUAAUGAGCUGAGUUCACUGGCUUGAAUUUGGAGAGUGAACACAUACCCUUUGUGUCUGGGAGGUAUGCUUGUGACUUCCUUUGUCUCUCCCGGCUUUGAGGGGAGAAGUAAAUUUGGCAUGGUCUGUUG